UUUUAUGGAGAGUUUGAUCCUGGCUCAGGAUGAACGCUGGCGGCGUGCCUAAUACAUGCAAGUCGAGCGAACGGAUGAGAAGCUUGCUUCUCUGAUGUUAGCGGCGGACGGGUGAGUAACACGUGGAUAACCUACCUAUAAGACUGGGAUAACUUCGGGAAACCGGAGCUAAUACCGGAUAAUAUUUUGAACCGCAUGGUUCAAAAGUGAAAGACGGUCUUGCUGUCACUUAUAGAUGGAUCCGCGCUGCAUUAGCUAGUUGGUAAGGUAACGG
rnacentral:rRNA from 1 species